ACCUUAUCCGAUGCUUCAAUAUCACAUUUUGCAUUGACUAAUAAUUCAACAAUUUCAGUAUUAUUAUUAAUAAUAGCCCAAUGAAUUGGUGACCGACCAAGUUGUGAUUUUUUAUUCAAAUCAAUAUCCAAUAAGUAAAUCGAUUGGUAUGUUUUCAGCUGAUAUGAAAAUACAUUUUUUUAAAAAGAAACCAAAUGUAAUCAUCAAUGGGGAAAGCAAGCAAAACAAAUCAAAACAGAAUCGAAAAGAAUCGUUAGGGAAUGGAAUUGAAUUUAGAUUCGUGCGCAUAGUCGGUUAAUGGUAAUAGUGUAUUGCUUCUGCUGCUGUUUCUUGGGGAUCAAUGAACGGGUC